rnacentral:rRNA from 1 species
AGAACGAACGCUGGCGGCAGGCUUAACACAUGCAAGUCGAGCGCCUCGGUAACGGGGAGCGGCAGACGGGUGAGUAACGCGUGGGAACAUACCCUCCGGUUCGGAAUAACUCAGGGAAACUUGAGCUAAUACCGGAUACGGCAACCAAGAGAGAUUUUGGCGGCGAAAGAUUUAUCGCCGGAGGAUUGGCCCGCGUCCGAUUAGCUAGUUGGUGUGGUAAUGGCGCACCAAGGCGACGAUCGGUAGCUGGUCUGAGAGGAUGAUCAGCCACAUUGGGACUGAGACACGGCCCAAACUCCUACGGGAGGCAGCAGUGGGGAAUAUUGGACAAUGGGCGCAAGCCUGAUCCAGCCAUGCCGCGUGAGUGAUGAAGGCCUUAGGGUUGUAAAGCUCUUUCACCCACGACGAUAAUGACGGUAGUGGGAGAAGAAGCCCCGGCUAACUUCGUGCCAGCAGCCGC